ACCUGAGUACAACAAUUAGAAUCCUUUCUAAUCGAUGAUUGAAUUAAACUCUUUAAUUUGAUUAAAUCUAUAAGUCAAAAUUGAUAUCUAGCAACAUAUUAUGAUGAUCUAAAAGAUAUAAAAUUUGAUAAAAAUAUCAAAUAUAUCCUUCAUUGGCAAGUUACCGUAUAAUUCAAUCCUUCGAUCAUCCCUACAUCCUG
rnacentral:lncRNA from 1 species